AUUGACCGCUGGCGGCAGGCCUAACACAUGCAAGUCGAGCGAGCGGCGGACGGGUGAGUAAUGUCUGGGAAACUGCCUGAUGGAGGGGGAUAACUACUGGAAACGGUAGCUAAUACCGCAUACCAUCAGAUGUGCCCAGAUGGGAUUAGCUCGUAGGGGGGGUAACGGCUCACCUAGGCGACGAUCCCUAGCUGGUCUGAGAGGAUGACCAGCCACACUGGAACGGAGACACGGUCCAGACUCAUACGGGAGGCAGCAGUGGGGAAUAUUGAACAAUGGGCGCAAGCCUGAGGAAGCCAUGCCGCGUGUAUGAAGAAGGCCUUCGGGUUGUAAAGUACUUUCAGCGGGGAGACGUUACCCGCAGAAGAAGCACCGGCUAACUCCGUGCCAGCAGCCGCGGUAAUAC
rnacentral:rRNA from 1 species